rnacentral:rRNA from 1 species
AAGGUAGCGAAAUUCCUUGUCGGGUAAGUUCCGACCUGCACGAAUGGCGUAACGAUCUCCACACUGUCUCGGCCAGAGACUCGGUGAAAUUGAAGUCGCGGUGAAAAUGCCGUGUACCCGCAGAAAGACGGAAAGACCCUGUGCACCUUUACUAUAGCUUGACAUUGGGAUUUGAGCCUGCAUGUGUAGCAUAGGUGGGAGGCUGUGAACUCUGUACGCCAGUAUGGAGGGAGCCAUCGUUGAAAUACCACCCUUGUUUGUUCAGGUCCCUAACUCCUUGCCGUGAUCCGGUAGGAGGACAGUGUCUGGUGGGUAGUUUGACUGGGGCGGUCGCCUCCCAAAAUGUAACGGAGGCAUGCAAAGGUUCCCUCAGGCUGAUUGGAAACCAGCCGUCGAGUGCAAACGCAAAAGGGAGCUUGACUGCAAGAGAGACAUCUCGAGCAGGUACGAAAGUAGGUGUUAGUGAUCCGGUGAUCCCGAAUGGAAGGGUCAUCGCUCAUUGGAUAAAAGGUACGCCGGGGAUAACAGGCUGAUCGCAUCCAAGAGUUCACAUCGACGAUGCGGUUUGGCACCUCGAUGUCGGCUCAUCACAUCCUGGGGCUGAAGCAGGUCCCAAGGGUACGGCUGUUCGCCGUUUAAAGUGGUACGCGAGCUGGGUUUAAAACGUCGUGAGACAGUUUGGUCCCUAUCUUCUGUGGGCGAAGGAGAAUUGAGAGGGCCUGUCCCUAGUACGAGAGGACCGGGAUGGACGCACCCCUGGUGAUCCUGUUGUCGCGCCAGCGGCAUAGCAGGGUAGCUAUGUGCGGAAGGGAUAACCGCUGAAAGCAUCUAAGCGGGAAGCCUGCCUCAAGAUAAGUUCUCCCCUCGAAAGAGCUGAAGGGCCCGGGUAGACUACCCGGUCGAUAGGCUGGAGGUGUAAGCGCGGCGACGUGCUCAGCUGACCAGUACUAAUAGCCCGAGCGGCUUAUUUUU